UCUUUUCCAGAUUUAGAGUAGUAAAGAAUACCAUAGCAUGUGAUCAAGAAGUAGCUCUAGCAUAGAGAUAAAAGACAAUUCAUAAUUACAGUUUAAUUUGAAUUUUAUUAGGAGAAUUUGUGUUUUAAUGCUGGAAUGAGAAUUUGAUUUCAUUUUCUACGGGCGGGGAUAUCUGGAUGAGCAACUCACACAACUACAACAGCUAUAGGAUGGGAGGAAUCUUGAGUCUGUUGUGGAAGUGGUUUCUCUCUUCAUCCAAGAUGCUAAGAAAAUCAUCAAUGAUUCGUCCAAAACUUUGUAUGCUCCCUAUCUAAAAGGGAAAAGAGAUUGAUAUUAAAAGGCAUAUAGGUUCUCUAUGAUGCAUUGGCUGAAUAUAGAGUAAGCUGGAAAAAAGCCCUUCAAUUUCUAAAUCAACGAUUCUCAUAAUCAAAGCAGACAAGCAAGAAUGAUUGUCAACCCUACAUUCUGCUUAUAGAUGAGCUUGAUCUUCUUGUCACAAGAAAUCAAUUGGUAUAGUAAACACAAUGGAUCUGCCAAAUAAAUUGCUUCCACGUAUAGAAAGUCAUAUGGGAAUGAAAAGAUUGUGCUUUGGCCCCUAUUCUUAUCAACAGCUACAGGAGAUUAUUUCUAGUCAUCUAAAUGGAAUUGAGGCAUUUGAAAAACAGGUUGUGUUGAGUUUGUUUUAUGGAAGUGUUUUUCCAAAUGAACUUUUGGAUAAACACGUAUUGCAAGUUGCAGUAGUUUUUGGAGAUGCUCAUUGAGCAUUGGAGCUAUGUAGCCGUGUUGCAAAGCUUGCAAAAUUCAAAGUCCAACAGUUGAAUGCUCCUCAAUUUUCUAUCCCGUUGCAGAUUAUCUCCCCCUUUGUGGAUGUUGGGGAUCCUCCUCUUAUGAGCUCAAGCUCCUGGUUUUUGGCUUCUUGACUGUUGGGUUGAUUGGGUCUUUGUUUUGGGUUGCAUCUACAUGGUUGAUGCUUUUUGUUCUCAACUGUUACUUGUAUCGGGGUUGGUAAUGAUCUUCAUGUAUUCGACUUCUAUAUGUAUUGGGGGACUUUUUGUAUCUUGACUUGUGGGGCCUCUCAUAUGUAAUGGGUUUUUUGGCAUUUUGGGUAGCGUUAGACUUUUCUUUUUAUGGGCUACAAUCAGAGGUUUUCUUUCAGAUUCUUUCCUGCUAGUAUGCCCUUUUGAAUCCGGU